rnacentral:rRNA from 1 species
AGUGAACGCUGGCGGUAGGCCUAACACAUGCAAGUCGAACGGCAGCACAGUAAGAGCUUGCUCUUAUGGGUGGCGAGUGGCGGACGGGUGAGGAAUACAUCGGAAUCUACCUUUUUCGUGGGGGGAUUACGUAGGGAAACUUACGCUAAUACCGCAUACGACCUUCGGGUGAAAGCAGGGGACCUUCGGGCCUUGCGCGG